GAGCCUCUAUUCUUACCUUCUGGGAUGCUAGGCUGUAUAAAAUGGCAGUUGGAUUUAUGCUUGCUCAUCCUUAUGGAUUUACACGAGUAAUGUCAAGCUACCGUUGGCCAAGACAGUUUCAAAAUGGAAACGUAAGUUUUGAAAUUGUUCAAACUAUCCUUUUCUCAAGAAACAGAAGGCAAUCUUGUUCUAACUUAAUAUGACGACUAUUAAUUAUAUAUUUAUUCAACAAAUAAUUGAUUAGAAACCUGAUAUAGGGCUGCGAUUUUAGUAAUGCAGGUUAUAUUAAAGGAGUAAAAUAUAUAUUUUCCAUUGACAAAGAGUAUGCAAGCCUUUUCAGAUAUAUGAUAAACAUCCCCCUAGCCCGCAGGAAAAA
rnacentral:sRNA from 1 species